GGGCCCUGGGGGAGGGAGAUGGAGGCAGCAGUGGGACACCUACUCACCGCCAGAACUUUCUGACAGAGGCAGAAGCAGCCAGGCAGCUCCUGAACGGCCAGAAGAGGCUGCUGGCUCUCAGCCCGUGGAAGAUUUUGGCUGCACUGGGAUCGCUGGAGCAGAGUUACCGCCUGGGGAGCCGGCUGGAGUCGCUGGCCAGGACCGUGGCGCCUGCACAGGGAAAGAGUCCGGGGGAGGCGGCUCAGCGGGAGGAGGCGUGGGAGAGAAACCGGCCGCGUGGGCUGCCCGCGGGGCCAGGACCAGGACGUCCUGAGGGGCCGGGGCACGCGGAGGUGGAGGGAGCUCCCAGGAAAGGGACGAUGGACGAGGCAGCAGAGGGAACCGAGGGAGGGUCCCUGACAGACCCCACCCCACCCCCCAAAUGUGGCUGUUCACCUCGGAGACCUGCUGCGGACAUGGGUACAGCCUGGAGCAGGACCUGCACCCUCUGCCGGAAUGUGGAGCCUCAAGUUGGGCAGCAAGAAGCAAUGGCCUGAGGACAACAACUGCCUGCAUAGAUUAACCACCACCAAGGAUUAACUGCCCUCUGUCCUGGGACUCGACCCGCCACCCUCCCCUGACUGUUCCCCCUCUUCAUUGUUCCUGCCACAAGUUCCUGCCACGGAUCCUUUAUAAGCCUAGCAUCUCCGAGCAGUCGGGGCUGGCGCCACCUUGACCUCAGCCCACCCGCUUCGGGUGCCUUAAUAAAUCUCUCCUCUUGCCUGACUUGGCCUUGUGCGUUNUCUUCAUUGUUCCUGCCACAAGUUCCCGCCACGGAUCCUUUAUAAGCCUAGCAUCUCCGAGCAGUCGGGGCUGGCGCCACCUUGACCUCAGCCCACCCGCUUCGGGUGCCUUAAUAAAUCUCUCCUCUUGCCUG
rnacentral:lncRNA from 1 species